AGUUGAACGUGAUUUGCUGGGUGCUUGCACCGAGCAAUGAAAGUAGCGCACUGGUGAGUAACACGUGGGAACGUACCUUUUGGUGGGGAACAACAGUUGGAAACGACUGCUAAUACCGCAUAAGCCCUGAGGGGGAAAGAUUUAUCGCCGAAAGAACGGCCCGCGGAAGAUUAGGUAGUUGGUGGGGUAACGGCCUACCAAGCCGACGAUCUAUAGCUGGUCUGAGAGGACGAUCAGCCACAUUGGAACUGAGACACGGUCCAAACUCCUACGGGAGGCAGCAGUGAGGAAUAUUGGGCAAUGGAGGCAACUCUGACCCAGCCAUGCCGCGUGAGUGAAGAAGGUUUUCGGAUUGUAAAGCUCUUUCGGGUGUGACGAUGAUGACGGUAGCACCUAAAGAAGCCCCGGCUAACUUCGUGCCAGCAGCCGCGGUAAUACGAAGGGGGCAAGCGUUGUUCGGAAUUACUGGGCGUAAAGGGAGUGUAGGCGGUUAUGUAAGAUAGUGGUGAAAUCCCAGAGCUUAACUUUGGAAUUGCCAUUAUGACUAUGUGGCUAGAAUUACAGAGAGGAUAGUGGAAUACCCAGUGUAGAGGUGAAAUUCGUAGAUAUUGGGUAGAACACCAGUGGCGAAGGCGACUGUCUGGCUGUAUAUUGACGCUGAGGCUCGAAAGCAUGGGGAUCAAACAGGAUUAGAUACCCUGGUAGUCCAUGCUGUAAACGAUGAGUGCUUGUUGUCGGUAUUGUAUCGGUGACGAAGUUAACGCGUUAAGCACUCCGCC
rnacentral:rRNA from 1 species